UCCGGUUUGUCACCGGCAGUCUCCUUAGAGUGCCCAACUAAAUGAUGGCAACUAAGAACAAGGGUUGCGCUCGUUGCGGGACUUAACCCAACAUCUCACGACACGAGCUGACGACAACCAUGCACCACCUGUCACCGUUGUCCCCGAAGGGAAAACUGUAUCUCUACAGUGGUCAAUGGGAUGUCAAGACCUGGUAAGGUUCUUCGCGUUGCUUCGAAUUAAACCACAUGCUCCACCGCUUGUGCGGGCCCCCGUCAAUUCCUUUGAGUUUCAACCUUGCGGCCGUAGUCCCCAGGCGGUUCACUUAAUGCGUUAGCUGCGGCACCGAGGGGAACCCGUGGAAUGGAUCCCACACCCAGCGCCCAACGUUUACGGUGUGGACUAC
rnacentral:misc_RNA from 1 species